rnacentral:rRNA from 1 species
GGUUAAGCGACUAAGCGUACACGGUGGAUGCCCUGGCAGUCAGAGGCGAUGAAGGACGUGCUAAUCUGCGAUAAGCGCCGGUAAGGUGAUAUGAACCGUUAUAACCGGCGAUUUCCGAAUGGGGAAACCCAGUGUGACUCGUCACACUAUCAUUAACUGAAUCCAUAGGUUAAUGAGGCGAACCGGGGGAACUGAAACAUCUAAGUACCCCGAGGAAAAGAAAUCAACCGAGAUUCCCCCAGUAGCGGCGAGCGAACGGGGAGGAGCCCAGAGCCUGAAUCAGCAUGUGUGUUAGUGGAAGCGUCUGGAAAGGCGCGCGAUACAGGGUGACAGCCCCGUACACAAAAGCGCAUGUGCUGUGAGCUCGAUGAGUAGGGCGGGACACGUGGUAUCCUGUCUGAAUAUGGGGGGACCAUCCUCCAAGGCUAAAUACUCCUGACUGACCGAUAGUGAACCAGUACCGUGAGGGAAAGGCGAAAAGAACCCCGGCGAGGGGAGUGAAAAAGAACCUGAAACCGUGUACGUACAAGCAGUGGGAGCACAGGUUUACCUGUGUGACUGCGUACCUUUUGUAUAAUGGGUCAGCGACUUAUAUUCUGUAGCAAGGUUAACCGAAUAGGGGAGCCGGAGGGAAACCGAGUCUUAACCGGGCGUUAAGUUGCAGGGUAUAGACCCGAAACCCGGUGAUCUAGCCAUGGGCAGGUUGAAGGUUGGGUAACACUAACUGGAGGACCGAACCGACUAAUGUUGAAAAAUUAGCGGAUGACCUGUGGCUGGGGGUGAAAGGCCAAUCAAACCGGGAGAUAGCUGGUUCUCCCCGAAAGCUAUUUAGGUAGCGCCUCGUGAAUUCAUCUCCGGGGGUAGAGCACUGUUUCGGCUAGGGGGCCAUCCCGGCUUACCAACCCGAUGCAAACUGCGAAUACCGGAGAAUGUUAUCACGGGAGACACACGGCGGGUGCUAACGUCCGUCGUGAAGAGGGAAACAACCCAGACCGCCAGCUAAGGUCCCAAAGUCAUGGUUAAGUGGGAAACGAUGUGGGAAGGCCCAGACAGCCAGGAUGUUGGCUUAGAAGCAGCCAUCAUUUAAAGAAAGCGUAAUAGCUCACUGGUCGAGUCGGCCUGCGCGGAAGAUGUAACGGGGCUAAACCAUGCACCGAAGCUGCGGCAGCGAACGUAUCACUUAAAGCGAUUCAGCGGGUUACGAUUGACGGAGCGAAGCGACGUCAAAGCGUAUACAAAGUCGAGUCGGUUUAAGGAUACGUUCGUUGGGUAGGGGAGCGUUCUGUAAGCCUGUGAAGGUGUGUCGUGAGGCAUGCUGGAGGUAUCAGAAGUGCGAAUGCUGACAUAAGUAACGAUAAAGCGGGUGAAAAGCCCGCUCGCCGGAAGACCAAGGGUUCCUGUCCAACGUUAAUCGGGGCAGGGUGAGUCGACCCCUAAGGCGAGGCCGAAAGGCGUAGUCGAUGGGAAACGGGUUAAUAUUCCCGUACUUGGUGUUACUGCGAAGGGGGGACGGAGAAGGCUAUGUUGGCCGGGCGACGGUUGUCCCGGUUUAAGCGUGUAGGUGUGUGUUCCAGGUAAAUCCGGUUCACUUUAACACUGAGGCGUGAUGACGAGGCACUACGGUGCUGAAGCAACAAAUGCCCUGCUUCCAGGAAAAGCCUCUAAGCAUCAGGUAACAUCAAAUCGUACCCCAAACCGACACAGGUGGUCAGGUAGAGAAUACCAAGGCGCUUGAGAGAACUCGGGUGAAGGAACUAGGCAAAAUGGUGCCGUAACUUCGGGAGAAGGCACGCUGACAUGUAGGUGAAGUGAUUUACUCAUGGAGCUGAAGUCAGUCGAAGAUACCAGCUGGCUGCAACUGUUUAUUAAAAACACAGCACUGUGCAAACACGAAAGUGGACGUAUACGGUGUGACGCCUGCCCGGUGCCGGAAGGUUAAUUGAUGGGGUCAGCGCAAGCGAAGCUCCUGAUCGAAGCCCCGGUAAACGGCGGCCGUAACUAUAACGGUCCUAAGGUAGCGAAAUUCCUUGUCGGGUAAGUUCCGACCUGCACGAAUGGCGUAAUGAUGGCCAGGCUGUCUCCACCCGAGACUCAGUGAAAUUGAACUCGCUGUGAAGAUGCAGUGUACCCGCGGCAAGACGGAAAGACCCCGUGAACCUUUACUAUAGCUUGACACUGAACAUUGAGCCUUGAUGUGUAGGAUAGGUGGGAGGCUUUGAAGCGUGGACGCCAGUCUGCGUGGAGCCGACCUUGAAAUACCACCCUUUAAUGUUUGAUGUUCUAACGUGGAUCCGUAAUCCGGGUUGCGGACAGUGUCUGGUGGGUAGUUUGACUGGGGCGGUCUCCUCCUAAAGAGUAACGGAGGAGCACGAAGGUUGGCUAAUCCUGGUCGGACAUCAGGAGGUUAGUGCAAUGGCAUAAGCCAGCUUGACUGCGAGCGUGACGGCGCGAGCAGGUGCGAAAGCAGGUCAUAGUGAUCCGGUGGUUCUGAAUGGAAGGGCCAUCGCUCAACGGAUAAAAGGUACUCCGGGGAUAACAGGCUGAUACCGCCCAAGAGUUCAUAUCGACGGCGGUGUUUGGCACCUCGAUGUCGGCUCAUCACAUCCUGGGGCUGAAGUAGGUCCCAAGGGUAUGGCUGUUCGCCAUUUAAAGUGGUACGCGAGCUGGGUUUAGAACGUCGUGAGACAGUUCGGUCCCUAUCUGCCGUGGGCGCUGGAGAACUGAGGGGGGCUGCUCCUAGUACGAGAGGACCGGAGUGGACGCAUCACUGGUGUUCGGGUUGUCAUGCCAAUGGCACUGCCCGGUAGCUAAAUGCGGAAGAGAUAAGUGCUGAAAGCAUCUAAGCACGAAACUUGCCCCGAGAUGAGUUCUCCCUGAGACUUAGAGUCUCCUGAAGGAACGUUGAAGACGACGACGUUGAUAGGCCGGGUGUGUAAGCGCAGCGAUGCGUUGAGCUAACCGGUACUAAUGAACCGUGAGGCUUAACCUU